CCUCUCCCUCUUAAGCCUUCCUCCUCUGCCCAUCGAAUCCCUCUAGGUCAUCACAGAGCAGCAGAUCGCAUCCCUGUGCGUACAGUGACUUCCCCCUAGCUAUAUAUUUUACACACGUGCCAAUGCUGCUUUUCCAGUCCAUCCCACCUUCUCCUUCCCCCGCUGUGUCCACAGGCCCGUCCUCUACAUCUGCAUCUCCAUUCCUUCCCUGAAACGCUACGUGACAUGCUAGACCCUAGUUCCCCAACCAGGGAUCAAACCCAUGCCCUCUGCAGUGGAAACACAGACUGUUAACCACUGGACCGCCAGGGAAGUCCUGAGUGGCAGUGUUUUAAUAAGACCUUGUAUACACAGACUUCAUGUAUACACAAAACUCCAAUACUUUGGCCACCUGAUGCGAAGAGCUGACCCAUUGGAACAGUCCCUGAUGCCGGGAAAGACUGAAGGAUUAAUGUCAGACUAUGCCCUUUGGGCAGGAAUACGGAUGGUGCCAUGUUCUCACGUGUAUGUCACAUCACGGGGCCCACACUCCGGCUGGCCCCGUUGUUGGGGAAUCUCUCUCUAGAUGCAGAGGUCUUGAUGAAAUGGGAAGAGUUCUGGACUGAGAAUACGCUGGUGUGUGCAAAGUGAGGUUAUAUCUGAAAGAAAGCUAAAACUGAUGAAUUUGCAAUUAGAAGUGAAUUUAAUGACAAUAGUUCUUCAACAAAGAAAGACCAAACUGACACCUCUAAGAUGCCACAUCAGAGACGUCUCCACUCAAAAUAGCUUCACAACAGACUGGUUCUCACAUCUUUACUAAUAAACACAAGAUCUCAUCACCAAUGCUUGUGGUGAGGAUUUCACAAUGAUUGGGGGUGUCGUGGCUCAUUUGUGAACCAGAUGUGUCUAAACUGAAAUCUGAAAAUUCUCACUUGGUAAACAGGAUGAUGAAAGCUGGACGUGAAGCGGCCUUGUGGAGGUAUAAGCGUGAAAGAACUGUUUACACGUUUUUGGAGCUCAAAUUUGGGACAGUUGUUAUUUUACAAGAUUGAGAUUUUCCUUUAUUUACCUGGUGUCUAACUUGGUUCUCAAAUUGUAGUUCAGUUUUAUCCAUGGCAACAAAAACUAGCGUUUGAGAAUGAAGCUUUUAUUUGUUGGGGAAAUGAAAGCCAAAUCAUCUUGUUUGUUUUGGAUACUCAUAAAGA